GGGGGGAGCCAAAACUAGUAGGCUGGGUUGACUUUUUCUUGCUGGGUUUGGGUGUUUGACUAGCAGCAGAGAAAGAGCCCUGGAAAUUUGCAACCAAUACAAUAAAGAAGAAAGCCAUCACUGAAGAUGACAGUAGUACCCUUCUUCUUUUGCUUUUCUUUUCCAUCUCUUCGACUCAAUCGAGCUAUUUCCAGAAUGAGUUUCAAGAUUUCAGGUCAGAAGAAAAAAACAGCAGAAAUCUAGAGAAAGCUGAAGGGCAAAGUCUUCUUG
rnacentral:misc_RNA from 1 species